UGCAGUCGAGCGGAUGAAGGGAGCUUGCUCCCUGAUUUAGCGGCGGACGGGUGAGUAAUGCCUAGGAAUCUGCCUGGUAGUGGGGGAUAACGUUCCGAAAGGAACGCUAAUACCGCGUACGUCCUACGGGAGAAAGCAGGGGACCUUCGGGCCUUGCGCUAUCAGAUGAGCCUAGGUCGGAUUAGCUAGUUGGUGAGGUAAUGGCUCACCAAGGCGACGAUCCGUAACUGGUCUGAGAGGAUGAUCAGUCACACUGGAACUGAGACACGGUCCAGACUCCUACGGGAGGCAGCAGUGGGGAAUAUUGGACAAUGGGCGAAAGCCUGAUCCAGCCAUGCCGCGUGUGUGAAGAAGGUCUUCGGAUUGUAAAGCACUUUAAGUUGGGAGGAAGGGCUGCUGGUUAAUACCCUGCAGUUUUGACGUUACCAACAGAAUAAGCACCGGCUAACUUCGUGCCAGCAGCCGCGGUAAUACGAAGGGUGCAAGCGUUAAUCGGAAUUACUGGGCGUAAAGCGCGCGUAGGUGGUUCNUUAAGUUGGAUGUGAAAGCCCCGGGCUCAACCUGGGGAACUGCAUCCAAAACUGGCNAGCUAGAGUACGGUAGAGGGGUGGUGGAAUUUCCUGNG
rnacentral:rRNA from 1 species